ensembl:lncRNA
CAAAAAAGGCACCGGUAUUAUGUAGUGAAGCUCGCACGUCUCUGAACAGUGUAGCAUUUUGGCCACAAGAGCGCGCGCCUGAGCCACAUUAGAGGCGGUGAAGAUGCCAACAAUCUCAUCUCGAGUCCGGAAUAUUUUGGGCAAAAGAAAGCAUUUCAUUCCAAACACAAUCAAGACACACCGGAGGGAGUCUGCGGCUUAGUUUCACAAACAUCUUUCUGUCUUGCACGAUGAUCCCCGGUAAUCCAGAUGUUGGACAUACAGUGGCUUUUUAUUUAAUUUUUCUCUCGUUCCCUGUUCUGAAUGCUUUCCUUCAGUGAAACGUGUUCCAGCUCCUCUGGGUGUCCAGGGCCAUAUGGGCUGGUAACCGCUUAAUACUGAGCUCUCUGUGGGAUUCUGUUUGUGUUUUCUGUCUAGCCAAAUUUGUUUGCAU